UACAGAGGUCCCAAGCGUUGUUCGGAUUCACUGGGCGUAAAGGGUGCGUAGGUGGUUGGGUAAGUCUGAUGUGAAAUCUCCGGGCUCAACCCGGAAAUGGCAUUGGAUACUAUUCGGCUAGAGGUUUGGAGGGGGGACUGGAAUUCUCGGUGUAGCAGUGAAAUGCGUAGAUAUCGAGAGGAACACCAGUGGCGAAGGCGGGUCCCUGGACAACACCUGACACUGAGGCACGAAAGCUAGGGGAGCAAACAGG
rnacentral:rRNA from 1 species